rnacentral:rRNA from 1 species
AUUGAACGCUGGCGGCAUGCUUAACACAUGCAAAUCGAACGGUAACAGGCCCUUCGGGUGCUGACGAGUGGCGGACGGGUGAGUAAUGCUUAGGAAUCUGCCUAGUAGUGGGGGAUAACCCGGGGAAACUCGGGCUAAUACCGCAUACGCCCUACGGGGAAAGGCGGGGGACGUUUCGGUCCGUCGCGCUAUUAGAUGAGCCUAAGUCCGAUUAGCUAGUUGGUAGGGUAAGUGGCCUACCAAGGCGACGAUCGGUAGCUGGUCUGAGAGGACGACCACGCCACACUGGGAC